GGCUUUGUAGCUUAGUGUUAAAGCAGGCACCUAGAGUUAGCCAAACCCAAGUUUGAGUCCUGGUGAAGCCU
rnacentral:tRNA from 1 species